UACAGAGGGGGCAAGCGUUGUUCGGAAUUACUGGGCGUAAAGGGCGCGUAGGCGGCCUUCUAAGUCGAACGUGAAAUCCCCGGGCUCAACCCGGGAACUGCGUCCGAGACUGGAAGGCUUGAAUCCGGGAGAGGGAUGUGGAAUUCCAGGUGUAGCGGUGAAAUGCGUAGAUAUCUGGAGGAACAUCGGUGGCGAAGGCGGCAUCCUGGACCGGUAUUGACGCUGAGGCGCGAAAGCCAGGGGAGCAACGGG
rnacentral:rRNA from 1 species